CCCUGGUAAGCUUUUAAACAUUUAUGGUAAGGUGGGGAAGGAAUUUUUGACACCAGAGCUUCCUGGAUGACACACCCCUCACUUCCGAUGAGAGUUCAACUUUCAGGUUCCGGUCAUGUCCCAGUCCUUUGGUUCCGGGAUGAGGAGAAUCUUUGGUUCUGCUGUCAUUUCAGGUCAAGCUUUCUUCUUCUGCACAUGCUCUGGCUACGUGACUGCAAAGUUUCUGAAAAAUUCUUAAUCACCCUGUUGAUAAGAGAUGGGGUCUGUUCAAACUGGCUCUAGUAAGCUUGUGGGUACAUUAGGGGGACUAUAAAAGAAAGAGGCCACUGUCCAUCUGUCCAUACUUGGUGACCAAGAUUCAAAGGAGGGGAUGUGGCCUGAGUAGAGCUGGAGCUCAGAGGGAGCGAGUGACAACCAUCAUGAAAAUGGGCUCAGAAGUACUGAGGAAGAAGCUGGAUUGCCUGCUGUUUGACCUUUCAUGAAGUCAACAAACAUCUACUGGAUAUCUUCUACAUGCCAGGCCCCGUCUGGGCACUGGAGACACAGGGUAAAUAACACAAAGUCCUUACUUGUUUUAGUUCUCUCAAAUUGAUCCCAGUGCCUUUUGUCUUACCAGCCUCUCUUUAAAAGGUUGUCUUUCAUCUAAUUAACCUCACUGGCUAAGUCCAGGCCACAAACCCUCAAAGGUGAGGUCAUAUAAGCCAGAUCCGCUUCUGCUGGCCUCAUCAAUGAUGAUCAUUUGCUGGUGCUACGUGCCAGGCAUCCCAUCAAGCCCUCUGUGUAUCUGAUUUAAUGUGACAGCAACCCAGGUCUGUCUGACUCCAAAGCCUUGUCUUGGACCAUUUACCAUCAUUCAAAUACCACCAUCUUAAAAGCCUAAUUUCCAGUAGAGGCUUAUUUUAGAAUCCAUAUCUUCAGGGAAGGACAGUUUUUAAGCAUUCUUUCUCCAAGGGGAAUUUUUUGAUUUUCCUUUAGAUUAAGAAUGCCUAGGCUUAAAUAUCAUCAUUGUUGAAAUAUUGUCUUCAAAUGUUAAGAUAUUCCCUUUCAAACUCUGGUUCCUGUUUACCCAAGUCUCUAGAAAGUACUUUCUGGGCUACCACCAACCUUUACAUGUUAAUACACAAGAGAGUACAUCUUCAAACACAGACAACGGAAUUCAGUUUCCCACAGAGUCUCCUGAAGGUCAGGUGGGGGUGGGGGUCACAUGGAAUAUGGUGUGGUUGAAUAGCCUCAUGCAAAAUUUCCCCGUGCUUAUUAGGAUAUAACUUUAGGAUAUAACUGCUGCAGAGAAAUCCCUGGGAGAAAGCAAAAUGCUAACUUCUUAUUCCAAUUCCUAGUAUGCUCUCUAAUUCAAGUGAAAUGCCCCCAGUGUGCUGGAUGCUUUAUGAGAUCCAUCACAGAGACAUGCCCCAGCCCACAGGAAUUUCCAUCAAGAAAAGAUAUGACACAUUCUGGGGCCACAGAGGACUAGACAAAUAAUACAGAAGAGAAGGAGAAGAGUACUUGAACUUUUUUUUCCGAUGUCAGAGACCAAACAGCCUGAACCUUAAAGAACCUCUCUUCUCCUUUGUGGCGUCUUGCUGUGGGGAGAGAAAUAGAGUGGAUGAAGCAGGAGUAAUGCUUCCCUUCUUUCCGAAGGCACAAGCUCACCUCCAAAUCAAACCUUCAACUGUUAGCGCCUACAAGACAAGUAAAAGCCACACAGGCUCUUCCAGACUCCCUUAAAGCCCUUUUACCCUCCUACCAAAAUAUCUCAGGAAUUUGUAAGGAAAGUCAGCUCUUUUGGAGCCACCGCCCCUGCUCAUUCUCGGCCAUGGGGUAUGAUGAACAGGAAGACCGCAGAGUGUGGUAAGUCCAGAUGACACUGGUCUGAUCAGAGCCCGCUGGAUUGCAUUGUUUCUCCCGCUGUGCUUUUUGGUGAUGGUGUGGCUUCAGCUCUCCUCUAGGUGCCGGUUUCCUUGGAUAUACUCACAUAGCUAUAUGCAUCAGUGAAGAUUACUUUAGUAAGGUUGCAAGUAAUAGAAAACCCUGUUAAAGGAUAUAUCUUCUUAAAAAAGGUAAAAUUAUGCCUUUCAUACAAAUGUAGAAUGAGCACAUGCCAAAGAUUUUAUUUAACUCAUUAAUGAAGGAGUGAACCAGUAAAAUACCACAACUAAUUCAAAGGAAAAUCUGAAGAGCAGAGAUGUAUCUAGGCAAUCAGGAAUACUAAAAUGAAUUUGCUUAGGAGAGCAAAACUGUGAGGGAUCAUUCGCACCUCUGCCAGAGAAAAUUCAUUUGCAUGUUUGUGGACAAGAAUCAUUUGCAUUGCUGGCAGUUCCAUAUAAUUUCCAGAGUUGUAAAAUAGCUCAACAACAUGGAAACACGCAGAGACAGCGUCGAAUCAGAUAGCCUGGAAGAGUGCACUAGACAAUGCCUAAUUUUCUAUUGAAGACAAUUGGCCCAUUUUAAAGUCUUUUUUUCCCCUUUACCCUACAGUGGCUUAAACGAGUAGGGUAUUUAUUCUUCUCAUGUACCAAGAAGUCUGGAGAUAAGCAGCCCUGGGCAGGUGCAGUGGUCUAUGGGUGCGUUAGACCCAGUCUCCUUCUGUCUCCUCCUUUCCAGCCUUAGUUUCAUCCUCAUGGUUGCGAGAUGGCUGCUAGGCCUCCAAGGAGCUCUUUCUGAACUCCAGGCAGGAAGGAGGAAGAGCCCAAAUACUUUGAGAUUUUCCUGUUUGUAUUUGGGAAGGGAAAACCUCCUCAGGGAUCACAAGGCUACCCCUAGCUGUAAGGGAGCCUAAGAAGGUGAGAACUUUAACUUUUUGCACUCUACAGCAGAGGAAAACAAGGGAAAAGGGGACACCCAGUGAUUCUGGGCAGUGAUUUUGGUUCAUCCAUAUCUGCCGUAGCAUUUAAUCCCUUAUUAAUAGUUUCAAAUGGGGAUCCUAAAAAGAGUUUCUUCACUUAAUACUAUAGAUAAACUUUUAUUUAAGAUUUUAAAGACAUUUAGAUUAGGUAUUUAGCUAAUUACAAGUGUAAUAGUAAGACUACAAAAUAUUGAACUUAAAUAUAAAAACCUAACCUGCAACUGGGAAGAUUACGAACCAAAAUCACAAGUUUGGAAAAUUCCUCAGGCAUGCAGAGUUGUUUGGAAAGAAAGGUCCAGGAAGCUGAGUUGAUAUCUAGAAGGAAUUUUUUUCUUUCAUUCUGUCAACUUUCAAAAACAGAAACCAGAGGCCAGCCCUGUGGCCGAGUGGUUAAGUUUGCAUGCUCCGCUUCAGCAGCCCAGGGUUUCACUGGUUCAGAUCCUGGGCAUGGAUGUGGUGCCGCCCGUUGGGCCAUGUUGAGGCGGUGUCCCACAUGCCACAACUAGAAGGACCCACAACUAAAAUAUACAACUAUGUACUGGGGGGAUUUGGGGAGAAAAAGCAGAAAGAAGAUUGGCAACAGUUGUUAGCUCAGGUGGCAAUCUUCAAAAAGGAAGAAAAAAAAAAACCAGAAACCAGUUUAAGAAGUGUUUAUUUGGGAUCAAAGAAUUGCAAUUUGGGAGCGCAGAUUCAGGUGGAAACCCAAAUAGCGUCCUGAUUACAGGGUGGAAGCAAAGUGUUUUUAGGAGAAAAGGAAGGGGAUAAUUUCGUGAGUUGAAAGAGGAAAGAAAAACAUUCUAUCAGUGUUAGCAAACAAAGCUACUCUUGGUUAUACAAUAAUUGGCUAUUGUUUCCAUCUUCAGAAAGUCCACAAUCAUCCGUCUUUGUGCUCGGGAUAUCCCUUCUCUUGCUGACUUCUCAAACAAUUCCUUGUAAAAGAACUGCCAUUUGGCCCAGUCCAGGGUUUGGCCCAGCCCAUGGUUAAGGAACAAGGUGAGCAAGGCAGUUCCCCUGGAACGGCUGCUCUGGCUCUUUUAAAAUGGCUCCAAUUAUGUCAAUCUUCCCAAUUCCUUUUUUUUUUUCAGGAGUGAAAAUUGAACCUGAGAUUCUGACAGCUAGAGGCUUUUGGGAUGUAGGUGGAAUUCGUAGCAGUGGAAUAUUUGAAGUGCUAUGUUUGAUCCAGGAAGGUUAUUCUUUUGUGCUUUUUCUCUUGGAUUUUCUAUUCUUUUUUUUUUUUUUAAAGAUUUUUUAUUUUUCCUUUUUCUCCCCAAAGCCUCCUGGGGACAUAGUUGUGUAUUUUUAGUUGUGGGUCCUUCUAGUUGUGACAUGUAGGAUGCCGCCUCAGCAUGGCUUGAGGAAUGGUGCCAUGUCCGCGCCCAGGAUUCAAAACCCUGGGCUGCUGAAGCGGAGCACUCGAACUUAACCACUCGCCCAUGGGUCCGGCCCCCUCUCUUCCUUUUGAUAGGGAAACAGGCCCAGACGCGUGAGCCAUGCGUUCCCAGGCGGUGCUCCGGAAAGCCUUAUCUGUCAUCUGGAGUUCUUUGUCCUCCACUUUGGGAACAUAAGAACUCAGUCUCAUUGACGUGUCACUGCAAACUUCUACAUCCAGAUUUCUAUUCUGUAAUCCUUGCUUCUGCUUUCAAUGAAUGGGUCAGGGGGAUAGAGAGUUAGAGCCUCUUCAGGAAAUUGUUUCAGUAGCAAUAACCUAUGGCCUUCUUAAAACCUCUCAAAUGACAUUUGACAUUUAUACAGGAUUUUAACUAUGAUUUACCGAGUAUAAUUAUUUUGAUAUCUGGAACUGAUCCCAUAUGUCUUGCACCAAACCAUCCUGCCUCACUUAGGGAACUAGUAAGAAUUGUCAGACAAUGGAAGUCUAGAUGUGCAACACUUUCUGUUCUGAAGGCUGGACCAUCAUCCCUGGCUGGUGUGACCGAUAGGGGAAGACAAAUUCUCUUUCUCUCUACCUACCUGUCUUGGUCCAUUCGGGCUACUAUAACAGAAUACCACAGACUGUGUAGCUUAUAAACAACAGAAGUUUAUUUCUCUUAGUUCUGGAGUCUGGGGAGUCCGAGAUCAAGUUGCCAGCAGAUUCAGUGUCUGGUGAUGGCUGCUAUGUGCCGUGUCCUCACAUGGCAGAAGGGAUGAGGGAUGGCUCUAUGGUACUUUUAUAAGGCCACUAGUCCCAUUCACAAAGGCUCUACCAUUGUGUUCUAAUCGUCUUCCAAAGGUCCUCCUUUGUGAUGGUAUUGAUACUGGCUCAACACAAGGUUGACAUAAGGGAAGGCAUAUUGUAGAAAAGAAACUAUAUUGUAACUUUAAAUGACCUCUGACUAAAUAGAGCAGACAUGCUCUGUAGAUUUUGUGGCCCCUCCCAGCUGCUUUAAGAUGAUAACUUUUGUUCUUUCGAGUUCCUUAGCAUGUGAUGACCCCCGGGCAGAGAGCCUAUGCUGAUAGCCAUCAUCAAUGACAACUGAAAGAUCAGGGUAUAGGGCAUUGCUCCCUUCUCUGAUGCACAUCCAGUAAAACAAAGGACUAUCAGGAACUGGGACCAGCUGUCUGCCCCACCCAGAGACCAGCCACCUCACCCACCUGGAGACCAGCCCCUAUAUAACUGACCUGUUGUCUUUGUUCUGUGAGGCGGUUCUUUCAGGAAGGAUGGUUUCCAGCUGCAAACGUGAUUCAAUAACAUCUUAGAGGUUUCUAUUCUUAGUGAACUUUACCAACAGAACCCUACUGAAGAGCAAGGAUGUUCUUUGAAGACUGGUGCUCGUAAGGUACGUUUAACAGGACAGGCUUGAAAAUGCAGUGCAGAGGCCAGCCCUGUGGCCAGAGUGGUUACGUUCUUGUGCUCCGCUUCAGUGGCCCAGGGUUUGCUGGCUUGGAUCCUGGGCACAGGCCUACGCACUCCUCAUCAAACCAUGUUGAGGCGGCAUCCCACCUAGAAGAACUAAAAGGACUUACAAGUAGGAUAUACACCUAUGUGUUGGGGCUUUGGGGAGGAAAAAACCGUGGGAGUCGGGGGGAGGGAUUGGCAACAGAUGUGAGCUCAGGGCCAAUCUUAACAAAAAAGAAAAAAAAGAAAAUGCAGUGCAAGUAUGACAUUAAGGGGUAGCAGUGCUUUGUAGCUGGCCUCAAAAAAUUUCUCUAUUAUUGAGCCAGACUAGAAUGUCCCAUACUGUUUCUCAUGAGUCCUUGGAGUGAUAGAUUCAAAGAGCUUAAACAACUUCAGAAAAGAAACUUCAAAAGACCUUUUUAUUUUCUAGACAAAGCAAAGGCGUUUAUUAUAGGAACAUCCUCAAACUGCUUUGGAAGAGAUGUUCACACAGGCAGAUGUGGUGGAGAUCAACCUUGGAGUGGGUGCCCUCCACCCACAUUAGGGCCACUCCUUCCCACUUCUCUGGGCACCCAAGCAUUAGGGGCUUUAUCUCCCGCCUCUUAUUUUCCCCCCAAAAUUAAAAAGCAGAAGCUCAUUUCUCAGCAGAGCACAUGGCUGAAACAAAGAUCUUGGACCAUCCAGAGUAGAUUCUUCCACGUUGUAGGCCAGUUUAGGGAAAGGUCAGUGAACAAAAGAGAAGAGGUGAUGUUGACACUAUGUUUGUGGACUUACCGGAGUGGAGAAGAGAUGAAAAUAUGGCGUUAAACUGAAGGUAAGAAAAAAGUUACUCCCUUUGACCCAAAUGGUGCUGCAGUUCCUGAUAACACUAGCAAUAAUAAGUAUAAUGACUAGACAAGAUUCACUGAGCGCUGAUGGCUUGAUAGCGUGUUUACGUACUUUCCUAUUCGACCUUCACAACUGCCCUAUCAGGUAGGUAAUAUUAUUAUAAAUGAACAAGCCAAGGCUCAGAGAAGUUAUCUGCUCAAGUUCUCAAAGUGAGUAAGUCGGGGCAUCAGGAUUUGCACCCAUGUCUGUAGGUGGGAUUUGUAGCAAUGGAACAAGUGAAGUGUUGUGUCUGAUAAGGAGAGUUAUCCUUUUGUGCCCUAUCUGAUUUUAGAGGUCGUGCUCUCAAAUGCUGUGCUCUGGUAUCUUAAAUUCUUAUCAGGAAGCUAUGCCUCACUCAGCACAGCUGCUGCCAUUGCUGCUAUAACUGCUAGUGCAGCAUUUCCCAAAUGUUGCCUCUGGAACCUGCGGUUCCCAGUGAGGGGCACUUUGCAAGUGGAGGUGGCCUCUAGGCUCCUUUGUGGAGUCACUGUGGCUUCCCCCAGUCCCCAUUUUAAGUCUGCGAGUAGUUCAUUUUUUCCCCCUUGAGUUCAAAUCUUUUUUCUUUUCUUCUCCAAAUUACACCCCCACAUUUCUUUCUAAUGCAAUUAGAGUCUUUUCCAGAAAGCUAAAUUUGAAAGUGUUUCUGGCUAAAGCAGAAAAUUCAUUAUAUUUGUUUAAUUGUAACCCAAAUAAGAAACAACAUGAGGAUGAGAUUUUUAUUACAAGUCUCAUCCAACCUACGUCUCUAAUCCCACUGUCCUAUUUUUCUACUUAAUGCUGUAUGACUGUGCAGAGCUCCCUAAGGAGGGCCUGGACAGGCUGGAGGAAGGGUCUAGGAUGAUUGCCUGGGGAGGGCUUGGGUAUUCCUGGGUCCUUGUUUAUGGCCCUAUCAAAACAUUGUCCCUAGUUCCUGGAAAUUGAGGAUUGCAACAGUGUUCCUGUGAUUUUUUUUUUACUUUGAAUGGAAAAUUUUUAGCAACAAAGGAAGAAGAAACAUACUCCUCUCACAUGUGUUCCCAGAGUUAUGUUUUGGAUUUGAGUAUGCAAGUGGAUGUGGCAUGUGCUAACUAGACUCUCAAGGUCAAGAGUUUCAAAUGCAAAUGUCCAAAAGAAACAAUCAGGUGACAUAGCAAGCUGAAGUGCCCUGUGAGGGAAACAAUAGGGAUGGGUGAGAACUGUGGAGGGCACGCGGCCUUCUCAGAUGCAGCCCUUAUUCAUCUCCAGCUGGUUAUUGCCUCCUGGAAUUGCAGGUUCAACAUAACCAGAUCUUUCAAUUUUUUAAGGGGAGCCAGAAAUCUAGAAAUUUACAUGAACCUUCUCAAUUUUUUAAUGUUGGCAAUUAAUUUUACAAAUUAAAAAACUCUAUGUGGAAGAAAAUCACUACAUAGGAUAAGCAAAACAGAUUAGGCACUGUAAGCUGCCAUUUGCAACCUCUGCUCUAGAACUUUAUUGAGUGAAGAUAGAACGCGGAUUUGGAUAAAGGGAAGAGGCAAGCUAUUAGAGCUUUUGAAGUUUCAGAGGGUAUUGGGUGAUGUGCUGGAGAGUCAGCUUUCCUCCGCAAUCAGAGCUACGAAAGGCCGGAAUUGAAUGCCUGAAGAAGUUCCUGAGCAGAGGCUGGGAGGCCACGAGCUGGUAAUGUUGUAGACAGAACUUCUGCUUGAGUGUGCUGACCUUUGGCUUUCUUUCAGCUUCGAGGGUCUGUGAUUUUAUGCAACCAAGAACUAGGUGCUAUGAGAGUUAAAUGGAAGGACACGUUACUUCAGUUGUGGAAAUCGAGGUUCAUCACUGUUGGUACAAUUGCUUCUUGAGGUGUCUUUAGAAAGAAGCUUGGGAUGGAUUGCUGGAGACUCACCUGCGGGGUGCUCAGUUUUCUGGCAGGAAACUAGUCAGAGCAAGAGAAACACAACCCAAUUGACAUAAAGACUCUUUUUCCAGACUCUCUUGUAAUUAAUUAGCUGUGACCAAGUGACUGGAGUCUGGUUAAUCAGAUGUGGGCAGAAGUGACAUAAGCCACUUCUAGACUGGACCAUGAAACACUACGUGACCAUAGAAAUUCUUUUGAAAACCAUUCAGUCAAGAGUGAAGCCUCAGUAACUGGGAUUUUGCAGAUGUCAUUAAAUUAAGGAUCCUGAGGUGAGAAGAUUAUCCUGGGUUAUCUGGAUGGGCCCAAUGUAAUCACAAGAGUCCUUAUAGGAGGGAAGCAAGAGCGUCGAGUCAGAGAGGGAGAUGUGACAACAGAAGCAGAUGCCAGAGUGACGUGGGGCCCCGUGCCAAGGAGUGCAGGCAGCCUUUAGAAGCUGGAAAAGAUAUUUGCCAGUUCAUAAGCCGUCUGGGAAGAGGAACUGAUAGAAAGAGA
ensembl:lncRNA